rnacentral:rRNA from 1 species
UACGUAGGGUGCAAGCGUUAAUCGGAAUUACUGGGCGUAAAGCGUGCGCAGGCGGCUUUGCAAGACAGAUGUGAAAUCCCCGGGCUUAACCUGGGAACUGCAUUGGUGACUGGCAGGCUUUGAGUAUGGCAGAGGGGGGUAGAAUUCCACGUGUAGCAGUGAAAUGCGUAGAGAUGUGGAGGAAUACCGAUGGCGAAGGCAGCCCCCUGGGCCAAUACUGACGCUCAUGCACGAAAGCGUGGGGAGCAAACAGG